rnacentral:rRNA from 1 species
AGAUUGAACGCUGGCGGCAGGCCUAACACAUGCAAGUCGAGCGGUAGAGAGGUGCUUGCAUCUCUUGGGAGCGGCGGACGGGUGAGUAAUGCCUAGGAAUCUGCCUAGUGGUGGGGGAUAACGUUCGGAAACGGACGCUAAUACCGCAUACGUCCUACGGGAGAAAGCGGGGGACCUUCGGGCCUCGCGCCAUUAGAUGAGCCUAGGUCGGAUUAGCUAGUUGGUGAGGUAAUGGCUCACCAAGGCGACGAUCCGUAACUGGUCUGAGAGGAUGAUCAGUCACACUGGAACUGAGACACGGUCCAGACCUCCGUACGGGAGCAGCAGUGGGGGAAUA